rnacentral:lncRNA from 1 species
UGCAAUUAGUUUUUAUUUUUAUUUAUAUUUAAUACUUCAUACAUACGUUUAAAGAUUCGAUGUGACAGGGAAUCUGAAAAAUUUUGCAAAAUCUUUUGGGAACUAAACAAGGCCUAGAAUGGUUUUAUGCUACUUGCUACAUACUAGAAUAUAGUGGAAUGUUUACUGUAUUUUGAGGAAACACUGGAAUGUCCACUUCCCACUUCCUUAACACGAGCAUACAAAAGUCGAAACCUGCGUACUAGUCCCAAUUGUCCGUUUCGCCACGUCGGCAUGCACAUCGAUCUCAUUCAGGGGCUCAGGGCUGUCCUCUCAUCCCGUUCAGAUUUUGUCGCCGGUAGAUUCUGAUCUAAUGACAAUUAAUUAAAAUUAAUAGAUUUGUUAUGCAGAUUACUAAGAAUUUUUUGUUAUUAUUAUCGAAAUACUCAUUGUGACACCCUCAUUUAAUAUUCGAUGUGAUACCUUAUAAGUACUUCAGCUUCUAGAUGUGGUAAGGCCUCGUUUAGUUAAAAAACUUUCAAAAUUUUUCGUCAUAUCGAAUCUUUAAGUCUAUACUCUAUACAUAGAACAUUAAAUAUAGAUAAAAAAAAUAACUAAUCGCAC